rnacentral:rRNA from 1 species
UGGGGAAUAUUGCACAAUGGGCGCAAGCCUGAUGCAGCCAUGCCGCGUGUGUGAAGAAGGCCUUCGGGUUGUAAAGCACUUCAGCGAGGAGGAAGGUGGUGAGCUUAAUACGCUCAUCAAUGACGU